CGGACUCGGUUUGGGAUAGCCCUCGGCCAAGGUAUCCCUGAUAACUGAGUAUGAUAAUGAUUUUGGCACGAGCCAAAGUUUUAAGAAAUUCAUAAGCCAUGUUAAUUACUCGAUUUAUAUGAAUUGAUUUUAUUUAGUUGAAACAAGUUGAAAGGUGAUGAAUUUUAGUAUGUUAAACUAUUUUAUCUGUCUCCAUUUACUCGACUUUAGAUGGUUUAGAUGGUAUCUGUUUACUCACUGGGAUUUUAUAAUCUCAUCACCCUCCUUUUCAACCAUUUCAGGCCUGAGGUAGCCUAUGGAUAGCAAAUAUCGUCAAGGAUUAUAGUCGGCUUUACUACUCCAAAAACUGUAGGUUUACUGCCUUUGUGCACUUUUGUUCCUUGUGGGCUCACGAGUCACUGUAAAGUAAAUUUCAUAUCCCGAUUAUCUGUAUUAUAGUAUGUAUGAAUUUAUUUAGCUUUUACAUUAUAAAAAUUAUUUACCGAUGACUUUAUAAAUAUUGUUUUACAAGAAUUAGAAUAUUUUUAUUUUAUUCAAAUAGUUGCAAUAUCAUUUUUAAUAAAUGUUUUAG
rnacentral:lncRNA from 1 species